AACAAGGUUUCCGUAGGUGAACCUGCGGAAGGAUCAUUACCGAGUUGAUUCGGGCUCCGUCCCGAUCCUCCCACCCUUUGUAUACCUACCUCUGUUGCUUUGGCGGGCCGCGGUCUUCCGCGGCCGCCCCCCGAUUUUGGGGGGUGGCUAGUGCCCGCCAGAGGACUAUCAAACUCCAGUCAGUAAACGUUGCAGUCUGAAAAAAAAUAUUAAAUAAACUAAAACUUUCAACAACGGAUCUCUUGGUUCUGGCAUCGAUGAAGAACGCAGCGAAAUGCGAUAAGUAAUGUGAAUUGCAGAAUUCAGUGAAUCAUCGAAUCUUUGAACGCACAUUGCGCCCCUUGGUAUUCCGGGGGGCAUGCCUGUUCGAGCGUCAUUUCAACCCUCAAGCUCUGCUUGGUAUUGGGCACCGUCCUUUGCGGGCGCGCCUCAAAGACCUCGGCGGUGGCGUCUUGCCUCAAGCGUAGUAGAAUACACCUCGCUUCGGAGCGUAAGGCGUCGCCCGCCGGACGAACCUUCUGAACUUUUCUCAAGGUGACCUCGGAUCAGGUAGGGAUACCCGCUGAACUUAAGCAUAUCAAUAAGCGGAGGA
rnacentral:rRNA from 1 species